CAGCAGCCACGGGAAUACGGAGGGCGCGAGCGUUACCCGGAUUUACCGGGCGUAAAGGGCGUGUAGGCGGCCUGGGGCGUCCCAUGUGAAAGGCCACGGCUCAACCGUGGAGGAGCGUGGGAUACGCUCAGGCUAGAGGGUGGGAGAGGGUGGUGGAAUUCCCGGAGUAGCGGUGAAAUGCGCAGAUACCGGGAGGAACGCCGAUGGCGAAGGCAGCCACCUGGUCCACUUCUGACGCUGAGGCGCGAAAGCGUGGGGAGCAAACCGGAUUAGAUACCCCUGUAGUCCCUGUCUCUUAUAC
rnacentral:rRNA from 1 species